rnacentral:rRNA from 1 species
GUAGGGAAUAUUGGGCAAUGGUCGGAAGACUGACCCAGCCAUGCCGCGUGCAGGAAGACGGUCCUCUGGGUUGUAAACUGCUUUUAUCUGGGAAGAAAAAGGCCAUGCGUGGCAAAUUGCCGGUACCAGAUGAAUAAGCACCGGCUAACUCCGUGCCAGCAGCCGCGGUAAUACGGAGGGUGCGAGCGUUGUCCGGAUUUAUUGGGUUUAAAGGGUGCGUAGGCGGCUGAUUAAGUCAGCGGUGAAAGACUUCGGCUUAACCGGAGCAGUGCCGUUGAUACUGGUUGGCUUGAGUGUCGGAGGGGUACAUGGAAUUGAUGGUGUAGCGGUGAAAUGCAUAGAUACCAUCAGGAACACCGAUAGCGAAGGCAUUGUACUGGCCGACAACUGACGCUGAUGCACGAAAGUGUGGGGAUCGAACAGGAUUAGAUACCCUAGUAGUCC